rnacentral:rRNA from 1 species
ACGGAAGGCAGCAGUCGGGAAUAUUGCGCAAUGGAGGCAACUCUGACGCAGUGACGCCGCGUAUGGGAAGAAGGUUUUCGGAUUGUAAACCAUUGUCGUUAGGGAAGAAGAAGUGACAGUACCUAAGGAGGAAGCACCGGCUAACUAUGUGCCAGCAGCCGCGGUAAUACAUAGGGUGCAAGCGUUAUCCGGAUUUAUUGGGUGUAAAGGGUGCGUAGACGGGAAUUUAAGUUGGUUGUGAAAUCCCUCGGCUCAACCGAGGAACUGCAACCAAAACUGAAUUUCUUGAGUGCUGGAGGGGAAAGUGGAAUUCCUAGUGUAGCGGUGAAAUGCGUAGAUAUUAGGAGGAACACCGGUGGCGAAGGCGACUUUCUGGACAGUAACUGACGUUGAGGCACGAAAGUGUGGGGAGCAAACAGGAUUAGAUACCCUGGUA